rnacentral:rRNA from 1 species
CCUACGGGGCGCAGCAGUGGGGAAUAUUGGACAAUGGGCGAAAGCCUGAUCCAGCCAUGCCGCGUGUGUGAAGAAGGCCUUCGGGUUGUAAAGCACUUUCAGUGGGGAAGAAAGCCUUGGGGCUAAUACCCUCGAGGAAGGACAUCACCCACAGAAGAAGCACCGGCUAACUCCGUGCCAGCAGCCGCGGUAAUACGGAGGGUGCGAGCGUUAAUCGGAAUUACUGGGCGUAAAGCGCGCGUAGGCGGUCUGAUAAGCCGGUUGUGAAAGCCCCGGGCUCAACCUGGGAACGGCAUCCGGAACUGUCAGGCUAGAGUGCAGGAGAGGAAGGUAGAAUUCCCGGUGUAGCGGUGAAAUGCGUAGAGAUCGGGAGGAAUACCAGUGGCGAAGGCGGCCUUCUGGACUGACACUGACGCUGAGGUGCGAAAGCGUGGGUAGCAAACAGGAUUAGAUACCCCAGUAGC